rnacentral:rRNA from 1 species
AGUGAACGCUGGCGGUAGGCCUAACACAUGCAAGUCGAACGGCAGCACAGUAAGAGCUUGCUCUUACGGGUGGCGAGUGGCGGACGGGUGAGGAAUACAUCGGAAUCUACUUUUUCGUGGGGGAUAACGUAGGGAAACUUACGCUAAUACCACAUACGACCUACGGGUGAAAGCAGGGGAUCUUCGGACCUUGCGCGAUUGAAUGAGCCGAUGUCGGAUUAGCUAGUUGGCGGGGUGAAGGCCCACCAAGGCGACGAUCCGUAGCUGGUCUGAGAGGAUGAUCAGCCACACUGGAACUGAGACACGGUCCAGACUCCUACGGGAGGCAGCAGUGGGGAAUAUUGGACAAUGGGCGCAAGCCUGAUCCAGCCAUACCGCGUGGGUGAAGAAGGCCUUCGGGUUGUAAAGCCCUUUUGUUGGGAAAGAAAAGCAGCAGGUUAAUACCCCGCUGUUCUGACGGUACCCAAAGAAUAAGCACCGGCUAACUUCGUG